AUCCCUUUUUUUUUCCGCGAUGGCCGUUGCGCCAUCGCGUUACGCAGCGAACGUUGCCCUUUCUGAAAUGUUCGAAAUUCGAAGAUCGAUCUUGUCACCCUAUCUAAACGUCUAAACCUAUCUCCUGUCAUUUAGCUUGUUUACAUUCCGCAUGCCAUAAUAAGGGACACGCGGUUUGUCGGCACGGUUACUCGUAACAUUCUCCCCCCCGUUACGCGCCGCACUUGAUUGUCAGCAGCUCGAUACACCUUUACAAUUCGUCCCCUAGGCCAGCAGUUCCGCGGGUUGUUUCCAUCCGCAACCAAUACCAAGUCGCCUUCAUCUAAUGGUUUCGUCUGCUUGUACCAUCUCGAUCGCUUCGUUAGUGUUGGAUUUACGCACGGACGGAGUGGAAUCGUCAAAGGGUAGCGGAGGCUUGCUUCCGUUCGAACUGCCUAAAAUGAA